rnacentral:lncRNA from 1 species
UGCCAUGGAGGGGAGCCCCUGGUGGGCCCAAACCAUGGUCGGCCGACCGGGGUUAUGGGGCCCACAGGGCUCAUUUCCUUCUUUCCUGCAUUGAACAAGCUAAGAGUACAAGUGGAACUUUAUUAGUGAUAAAUAUGUUCAUGUGAUGCUUAUCUUCCUUCAAUCGAGGACUGUUGACGGGCUUUUGAGUAUAUAGAACUAGGUCUUAUUUCCCGUCAACACCUAUGCAUAAUAAUUAAAAGAUGUUUUAUUCAUGACCACAAGAUAGACUUAUACCAUGAUAAUUCCGAGAAAUUCAUGUUGUUGUUGGCAACUUUAAUAUAGGGACCCCAUAUUACUUAAUUUGUUGUGGAAAGAGAGAUAGUAUGAAUAUGAGAUCUUGAUUUCUGAUGCCUAGUCAUUUGGAGAAUUUUACUUUUCAAAUCUUAAAAUGAUUACUAUACUUUCUCCUCUGUGGCAAGAAUUAAUGUCCUACUAGAGCCAUGCAUGAUAGAUAUAAACCAGCUCAUAAGCUACUUUCUUUGUAUUGAGUUUUGUCAAACAUUAUUGACCUAUGUCGAGAGGAUUGUCAUGCUCCUAAGAUCAAGAUCAUGUACACCCACAUAUAUCUGCCAUUCCUACACUGGCAAUGCACACAAACAUGUCUUUCCAUUCACUAAAAAUGUUUUACUCCUACAUUGAGAGGAAACACAAAAAGAGUUUUAGUAGGAAUAAUUGCUUUAAGUUCUUUAAAAAGUCUUUCUCAAUAUUUUCUGGUUACAAAAGGAGGUGUGUGGCUAUGCAAAAUAAAAGUAUUGAAAAAAAUGAGAGAAAGAGAAAAAAGACAGGUGUCCUAGAAAGAAAGAAAAAUAAAAGAUAGCCCAUACCAUCCUGUGCAAAGACCAUAAGUGCUUUAGAGAAAGAAAGACAUUUUCAAAAGAGCAAUGCAGAAUUACGAUUAGCCACUAUAUAUUCCACACACAUGCACUUCUUGAUCUAAGAGUAUGUUAUUCCCCUCCAUGGAUCUGAGUUUUGACUUAGCAAGAUAUGCAAGGUAAGUAUGCUAUUUCCUUGAAUUACCUUUAACUCCAUAUAAGCCUAUAUAGAGUAGGAUGUAUCUAUCUACUUUGGUGAGUUCCACAAAUACCACAUAUAAUGAGUGAUUUGAGUGUGCUACAUGAUGGAGAAGGAUAAGCUAUUUUUUCUUUGCAAAAAUAUUAUAAAACUCCAAGUGACAGGGCUAAAGGAAAAGAGAACUCUAUUUUGUACUGUUCCAUCCUCAACCUCUCAAAGUUUUAUGGUAGACACUUUGAAUCCCGCAGUAUAGGUAUGACUUGGAAUAAAUCUAGUGAUGUCUUGGUUUGAGGUUAUGAUUAAAAUAGUCUAUCUAUCCUUUUUCCUCGAGGACGAGUAAAAGAUAAGUGUGGGGGAGUUUGUUGAUGGUAGAUAACUCCUAAUUUUAACCGUCAACUUAACAUGAAAAGGACCUAUUUGCAUGCACUCAGUAGAAAUAGGGUUAUCACUAACAAAAUUUUACGAGUUUUGGUGACUGUUUAUUUCUACAGGGGGUUAUCGGAAUAAUGACAAAAGGAGGUCCACAUGUCAGAUUUACAUAGAGAGAAGACCGGAACGCCAACUCAGGAAGACUCUAGAAGACUCUAGGAGCCACCACCGGAAAGGUGGGGCCCAUCUAUCAUAGGGCAGGGGCGGCCGCCUGGGGGCAGAGACCAAUCAGAUUUGUUCUCGUGGAUCCUGCCUCCACUGACUUUGAGGAUUAAUCUUAAGUGCACGUUUAAGUCAGUUUGAUCCAAGGGCUGUGGUGAUUCCUAGGGGGCUAUAAAUAAAGACCCUACCCCCUGAGAUGUAACUCUGAAAUCCUAAUUCAUAUUUUCCAGAGAGAGAUAGAUAGAGAGGGCUCCCUCAAAUGGAUCUGUCUCUUU